CCUAAAAAAAGGGGAAAACUUGUUUAAAGAAAGGAUUAUCAUUUGGUUCAUCUAAUUUUGAAAUCUCUAUCCUAAAGUUCAGUCUCUACUGAAAGUCUGUUUCAAUCAACUAUCUGACAGAUAGCAAUUGUGUUUGCAUUUUCAAUAGUGAUUCUACUUGCUGGAAUGUGAGAAAAGAAUCCAGAGACACCCAAAAAAAUCUAGAGAGGAGAUGUUAAAGAGCCUGCUUUCCACAGACCUAACGGGCCCUCAUUCUGAACGCAGUUGUUGGGUCAUAUCCUCCUUUUGUUCAUGCAGAAGAAAAUUACUCCAAGAUAGAGCAAGAACAACAUGUAUAUUUCUCCCAUCCAUUAUCUAGGGCGUUUGGUGAGGUGGCGCUGGAAGUUUGCAAGUGAUCACAGUGUUUCUCCAAGUAAGGCACAAACAGUCCACCCAACCAUGUCGAAAAAGGUUUGACAACAACACCUGCAAUGUACCCUCACUGUCAGGGGCUUUGGUGCCUUCACACAGCCUUGGAUGCAAGAUACCUCACAGUCAGUACAUUUCCUCUAUGUAAGUGUUCUCCAAAAACUUGUUCCAGUAGAAGAAUACUGGCUUUGCAAUACUGAUGAAUGUCACAGUUAAAAAUCCUGGUGAAAAUACACAUUAAAAAUUCAUGCCACACUUCUCCGUGUUUUACAGAUAUUUCAUUGCAGUUCAGGAUUCAGGCUAUUUAAAUAGGAGAAAAAAAAGACACCAGACCAAAGGCUACCAGACACUCUUCACCAAACCCCAUAAAACUUUUCACACCUCCUCCUGUCUCAGCCAUCAGCAGCUCCAGGUCAUCGCUGGUGACAUGUGAGAUAUCCUGCAGCUGAGGAAAAUGAGUGUUCACUAAGCUCCACUGCAGUUGUAAUAAUGGGAGCAAGUUUCUACCCCCUCCAUGUUCCUCCCAUGUUAGGCCUGAAGUGUGACACACACAAAAAUAUCAUGACUAGACCUCAACUACUAUUUUAAACAGCCAAAGAUUUGCUUGUGAAAAUUACAUGAGAGAGAAAUGGCUCCAAGUAGAAUCAACUGAGUUCCUUAAAUUCUAGCAUUUAUAUUACGAGGGUACAGAUAAGUUCCAAAGUGGUACCUAUUAAUCUUUUUUUUAAAUUCUGAUAAAUAGCAGUUUUUUGACAUAGUUAUCACCGUCAGUUUUUUUGAAAACACUGGGUCUGUGUUCCUGGAGGUAACACGGGUGUAAUGCUUGAGGCAACAAACAUACCUGUUAAGCAUAUUCCUUUGGUGCUGUUACACAGCUCCACCAUCACUCGGACCUAAUAUUGCAGAGAAAGUGAAGUUGAAAACAGGUUUGCUCUACCUACAGAAAUAAUUCCAAAACCAAAGAUACAACUGUCCCUCUGUGCUUGUUAGAAUGAGCUAUUUAGAAUUCCUUUAAUACUGUGACACCAUCCAUCUCUUCAGGCAGUGUUCCUCUCCUAGGAAUCUGUCAAUAGACCUAAUUUUGAUCCUUACUGAAAAUAUGAAUAGAAUGUUGGGCUAUCACCUAGUCAUUAAAUUUCACACAUUACUGUGACAGGUGUGCUUGUCCAUGUGUGGACUCUAUCAGUGGAAGGUAUUAAAAGCCAACACCAGCCAAUAGAAAUUACAUUCAAUUUUAUUUCCUAUUUGUAUUAAUGGAUGGAAGCUUUUCUAAUGCAGCAUAUGAAGGGAGAAAGAUGACCUGUGUUCCAAGUAAGUAAUUUCUUAUCUUUGAAUAACCAAGAUCUGUAAAUUUGACAUGGACCUUCAUCCACUCAAAAUAAUUCAAGCAAAAAGACAAGACUUUAUUAAACCAACUGGAAGACACAUUCAUAAAGAUGCUUUUAAUCUAGAGUAGACUAAAAUUUAUCAAUAGAGAAGUCAUCUUUACAAAAUACACAGUUCCUGGCU